CUCCAUCAUGGCCUGGAACUUGGACAGAGCUGCUCCACCAAUCACAGCGUCAGAAAUCUUUUUCCUGCCCUCUGAUUGGUCGGACACCAGGCCGGUCAUCAGCAGCAGCAACCCGCCUACAGAAACAGCAACAACAGGAUAAAACGAGACAUGAUGACGUCAUCUUGGACUUUGAGAAGCGACAAAAAGAACCAGAACCAGAACACGUCACCUUGGACUCUGGACCGUUGUGGUCAGCCGUCAUGGACUUGGACCUGAGAGUCAACGAGGUGCUGGGUGCUCGUUUUGGAGGGGGCGGAGCUACAAGAGAACAACCAGUCAGUUUGUAGUUUCUGCCACUAGAGGUCUCAGUGGACACAAAGACAAAAGAAGCGUGGGAUCAUGGGAUAUGUCUGAAGUGACUCUCAGGUUGGAUUCUGAUUUUCUGGAAACAGAGACGACCUUCAUCAGCAGCCGACUUCCUCCCUGACGGAUCAGAGACACGACCUGCCGGUGUCCCACCUUCACCACGUCGGCGCCGUUCACCUGGACCACAGACAGACAGACAGACAGGACGUCACGUGGAGUAAUCAGUCGGUCCGGGAGGCUGUUUUCACGAUCAUAGAUGAGAGCAGGCAGAGCUGAGAUUCUCACCUCCGACUGACUUCCUGUCCGUUGCAACAAAAACAGCCGAGGAUCAUGGGAAUCGUAGUAUUAGGAGCCAAACCAAACCAAAUUGAGGAGGUCUGACUGGACUUAUACACGUUUCCUGUGCUGCUGUAAAUGUCAGGAGAUCUUUACAGUAACAUUUUUAAAUUCAGAGUGAAGAUAAAUACAAACUGAAGCCGACAAACGUUCAAAUCUGUUACUAGUACUUAAGAAUCUGUCGUUAUUAUGAAACAGCGCAGGCGUGAGGAGUUUCACCGCUUGUCCUCUAAAGAUUUCACUCUGUUUU